AAUUACCCAAUGCUAAUUCAGCGAGGUAGUGACAAGAAAUAACGGGCUGGAGUUAUACUCCGGGACUGAAAUGAGUUUAAUUUACACCACUUUUCGAGGAUCAAUUGGAGGGCAAGUCUGGUGCCAGCAGCCGCGGUAAUUCCAGCUCCAAUAGCGUAUAUUAAAGUUGUUGCAGUUAAAAAGCUCGUAGUUGGAUCUCUGGCAGGAUGACAAUACCGGCCGCCUGGCUUGUGUUGCGUUGUCCUACCAUCCUUCUGUUAAACCUAGCGGAGUUUCAUUACUUUCUAGGCAGCUCAGAUAUUUUACCUUGAGAAAAUUAGAGUGUUUCAGGCAGGCUAGCGCCGGAAUACAUUAGCAUGGAAUAAUAGAAUAGGACUCAUCAUCUUUCUGUUGGUCUGAAGGUUGUGAGUAAUGAUUAAUAGGGAUAGUUGGGGGCAUUAGUACUUAACUGUCAGAGGUGAGAUUCUCAGAUUUGUUAAAGACUAACUAAUGCGAAAGCAUUUGCCAAGGAUGUUUUCAUUAAUCAAGAACGAAAGUUAGGGGAUCAAAGACGAUCAGAUACCGUCCUAGUCUUAACCAUAAACUAUGCCGACUCGGGAUUGGGAGCGAGAGUUAUCCGCU
rnacentral:rRNA from 1 species